CAUUUUACAUUAUCCAUUUCUACUUUCUUCAUCUUCUGGGUCGGGUCUUUCAUCAAUACACACCCUUUGGUAGUGACAGUCGCACAAGCAUUAUCAACAGCAGGGAAAGCUCCAUCCUGCAUCAGAGAUUUUGGAACCAUAGCCAUUGGAACCUUUAGCUGAUCCGCCUCAGUCAUCUCCAAUCCUUUCUUGGCCUUCUUCACCAUCUUGACUUUUAC
rnacentral:lncRNA from 1 species